AUGGAUAAUUGCAACUGCACUGUGUUCAACUGGAACGUGAGAGGAUUAAAUAAUCCGGCUAGGAGGAAGGUAGUUCAUGAUCUAGUACUACAGAACAGAGUUUCAAUAGUCUGUCUGCAAGAGACAAAGUUGGCACUGAUUGAUCGCCAGAUUGUCACGGAAACCUUGGGCGCAGCGUUCUGUGAUAACUUCAGAUUUUUGCCAGCCAAUGGAACU
rnacentral:rRNA from 1 species